UAAGUAAGAGUCGCGCGUGGUGACACCUGAUUGUUACUCAGGGGGGGCAGAUGGUUAUCUGCUUGCUUAG
rnacentral:tRNA from 1 species